rnacentral:lncRNA from 1 species
CUUCUGCUGUAAGAACUGGAAGGGGCCUGUCUCCAGAUCCCAUCUGCUUAUCUCAAGGAAAGUUUGGGGAACAGCUCCCGUCCCAUUGUCCUAAUGGAUUGGAUGAUAUCUACCCACUUUGGUAAGGAAGAUCUCUAUUCAGUCUACUGAUUCAAAGGUUUACCUCCUCCAGAAACAACCUCACAGAUACAACCAAUACUAAUGUUUCACCAACC